CUUUCUCCCAAUCUCUUUCUCCAAAUCUUUUUCCAAUUCAAUUCUUCGAAAUUUGUUAAUUUGGAAAUGAACAGGCGAUUGCCUCUUUGAUCAUUGAACAUCGAUUAGUUUAGUUGUGUGGAAUGAUGGGGAACAUUGCCCCUCUUGAUUUUGUGGGUAUUUCAUACAUUGAUGGAUUGUUUCUGGGUUUUCCUGCGAUGUCGAUUAUUUCUGGAUUUUCUUUGAGAACUCGCAACGAUCGUCUAAGGUUCGGUCCGGUAAAUCGUAUUAAUGUAUUCUGAUCGAAUGGUUUCUUCUAUUCGUGUAUUUUAUUUUUUAUUUUUAUUUUUUUGGGUGGGGCGGUUUCAGCUCAGCAUAUAUUAAUUUUAUCACACGGAUUUUGGUCGAUUGGGCAUCGGUGUUUUCCUGCGAUAUCGAUCAAUCCAUUAUUUCUGGGUUUUCCUGCUAUAUCGAUUAUUUCAUCACACGGAUUUUGAUCCAUCGGGCAAUGAUUAUUUCUGGGUUUUCCUCCGAUAUCGAUUUAAUCUGGUAUGGAUAACGAUCUGUUAAUCUCGAUCCCCGCCUGAAACUGUAAACACUUCCUUCUCUCAUAUCUUGCCCCCGCCACUGCUCUGCAUUCUUAUUGAAUGGUUUCUUCUAUUGCAAUGCUGCUGAAAUGUUUUCUGUUCAUAUCCCUUUGUUUUUUCUUUUGGGGUUGGGCGGUUUCAGUUCGACAUGUGGUUCUGCGUGACGGACUUGGGGAGACGGCCUGAUUAUUUUCAUGUAACUGAAGGCCCCGGCAAAGCAAUCGAAUUUUGGGCUACAUUAUACUAUGGGAAAAGAUGAAGGCCAGGGAGAAUCAUGGUACAGUCAUGUAACUGCAGCAACUGUUGCUCCCGAUUACCGGAGGCAACAAGUAGCCAAGAAACUGAUGAAUCCGCUUGAAGACAUUAUUUAGUGACAAAAUAUGCUCUACAAGUUGCAGGAUAAUGGGAAUCCAGGAGCUCCACAAGGGUUACUCGGUCUCAACAGUUUUCCUGAUGCAUUUCAUUGUGGAAAGCGAGUGGAAAGUGUUUUGAGCAAACAGUUUUACCAGUUAGGUUCUGUAGAAAGAGUCAAAGAUUAUCUUGUAAUGGCAGCUUAUUAUUGUAUAACCUUAUAGUACUCGUGGCUUCUUCCGCUUGAAUUUCAGCUUUUUAAAUGUGUCAUAAGUAACACAUCUAACAAUGAUCAGCAAACAUGGGAGCUAAUCUGGAUUAUGGAUUGCCUUCUGAAGGUGAAAAACUUCUUUUGAAAGGUAUGUUCAAACAUUCUUCCUACUUUUUCGAAUUUAGCAAGAAGGAAAAUUCCCGUUGCCGAUAGAUAUCAGUUUUGUGGAGAGGAAGAAACUGCAGAGCAUGCCUUGUUGUUAUGCGAGUUGGGGAGAUGGAUAGUGUUUGCUGUUAUGGGGGCUAGGAUUGAAAGAGAGAAGAUCAGUAGACUCAUUAUUUGGUUAAACGAAAUGGUGGAUGGAUGCAAAAUGAAAGGGUCUUGACAGAAUUGAUCUCACAAGAAAACUGUCCUUCACACUAUGGCUUUUGUGGAAGGAGAAGUGUGCUGCUGUGCGUGAGGCAAACUGAAGAAAAGAAGGCGGAUCUGUCAGCACAUCGAAACAAGGCAGGACCUCCAGAGAAGUGGCAGAGACCGGCGGCAGGGGUUCUGAAAUUGAAACACAAGGACAUACAGAAAGGGUAAAGCCUUUUUUGGACAUACAGAAUGGGUAAAGCGGUUUAAGUCACGAUAUAAUUUUUAAGCCUUUUUUGGAACUGAUUAAGCGGGUAAAGCCUAGUUUUGGAUUCGGUAAAACGAUGCCACGUGACCAUUGUGGAUCUUUUGUAUAAUGCCAGACCUGAUUAAUUAUCGACC